rnacentral:rRNA from 1 species
CUACGGGUGGCUCCAGUGAGGAAUAUUGCACAAUGGGGGGAACCCUGAUGCAGCAACGCCGCGUGGAGGAUGACGCAUUUCGGUGUGUAAACUCCUUUUAUAUGUCAAGAAAAUGACGGUAGCAUAUGAAUAAGCACCGGCUAACUCCGUGCCAGCAGCCGCGGUAAUACGGAGGGUGCAAGCGUUACUCGGAAUCACUGGGCGUAAAGGACGCGUAGGCGGGCUUGUAAGUCAGGUGUGAAAUCCUACAGCUUAACUGUAGAACUGCACUUGAAACUACGAGCCUAGAGUAUGGGAGGGGCAGAUGGAAUUAGUGGUGUAGGGGUAAAAUCCGUAGAUAUCACUAGGAAUACCUAAAGCGAAGGCGAUCUGCUGGAACAUAACUGACGCUAAGGCGUGAAAGCGUGGGGAGCAAACAGGAUUAGAUACCCUCGUAGUC